rnacentral:rRNA from 1 species
CCGAAACCAGGUGAUCUACCCAUGGUCAGGUUGAAGUUCAGGUAACACUGAAUGGAGGACCGAACCGACUUACGUUGAAAAGUGAGCGGAUGAACUGUGGGUAGCGGAGAAAUUCCAAUCGAACUUGGAGAUAGCUGGUUCUCUCCGAAAUAGCUUUAGGGCUAGCCUCAAGUGAUGAUUAUUGGAGGUAGAGCACUGUUUGGACGAGGGGCCCCUCUCGGGUUACCGAAUUCAGACAAACUCCGAAUGCCAAUUAAUUUAACUUGGGAGUCAGAACAUGGGUGAUAAGGUCCGUGUUCGAAAGGGAAACA